AUUAAGUUUCUUUCAUUGCUAUUUUUUCAAAUUUUCUAAAAACAAAUUUUGAUUAUUUAAUCAGAUUUAAGAGUUGAUUAAGAUUCCAUUUAAGAAGUUAUGUGGCAUUGCCUUCGAAGCUUAGAACCAUUGUUGAAUUAUUUAUUCUACAUCAAUGUAUAUUUUUUUUAGCUGAUAUAUAUGCUUUCUGUAAAAUUACCUACAUUCAUACUGGCCACUCUGUCCCACAGGCAUAUUUUAUGCCCCAACAGAACUGAAUAAAAUAGAUUUCUCUGAACUUCUCUUCCUGCCUUUUCUCUCUAGGACUAUGCUCAGGCUGACUCCUUUGUACCCUCUGGGUCUUAGUAUAAAUAUUGCUCACCCGUGUAAACCUUUUCUGUUGCCCUGGACACAUGGCCCUCCCUAGAACUCAUCAGAACUAUAGUUAAGUAAUUGUUUAUAUAGUUAAAAAACUAUUCACACUAGUUGGUCUUCUAGAUCAUAAGCUACUUAGUGGCAGGGCCCUGUUUAAUCCUAUUCCUUAUUGUAUUUCUCUGAAACUAGCACAGUGGCUGAGACACAGAAGUACUAAAGAUCCAUUUAAGUAGAUGGAUUAGUGGUGGAAAGAUGGAUAAAAAGGUGGUUGACUGGAGAGGAAGACAGUUGGGAUCCCUCUUCCUAGAGAACCUAGCCAAAUACCCUCAAUCUCGAGGACUCCCUCCUUUGUCUUCCCAGACAGACUUGGAUGCUCCUUUACCUAGGUGUGCACUGAAUCUUCAUUUACCUGUUCAAUAAUUAUGUAUUGAACAUUUACUAAGUGGUGGGUAUUUUGUUAUAGCUGUAGAUUCAAUAGUGAAUGUGGUGUAUUAGUUCUCUGCUCUCAUGGGGCUUAUAUUCUGAGAGGGAUGAUACAAAGUAAAGAAAAAAGACAAUAAGGUAAUUUCAGAUAGUAAUGAGUGCUAAAGAGAAAAUUAUUUGGACACAGGGUUUCCUCAAGAUCCCAAUUUCAAUUCUUUUGUGUAAAUACCUGGAAGUAGGAUGGAUGGACACAUCGUAGCUCUAGUUUUAAUUUGUUGAAGACACUCCAUACUGUUUUCUGAAGUAGCUGUUUGUUCACUGCAGUGUUACAAUAGUCAAGAGAUGGAAAUAACCUAAAUUCUAUUGACAAAUGAAUGAAUAAAGAAAAUGUGGUAUAUACAUACAAUGGAAUAUCAUUCAGCUUUAAAAAUGAAGGAAAUAUUGUCAUAUGCCCCCACAUGGAUGAGCCUUGAGGAGAUUAUGCCAAGUGAAAUAAGCCAGUCAUAGAAAGGCAAAUACAGUGUGAUGCCACCUAGGAAAAAGUCAAACUCGUAGAAACAAAGAGUAGAAUGUUAGUUGCCAAGGUUUAGGGGUAGGGAGAAAUGGGGAGUUGUUGAAUGGAUAUAGAGUUUUAGUCAUACUAGAUAAAAAAAGUAGUUCUGGAGAUUUACUAUACAAUAAUGUGCACAUAGCAACAACAUUAUGGUAUGUAUGCUUAAAACUUUGUUAGCAGGGAUAAUUUCAUGUUAUAUAUAUUUUUUACUAUAAUAAAAAAAAAAAGACAAGAUGGAGAAUGUGAGAGUGACUGAGUGGGUGAGAGUGGUGUGUCUUCUUUAGAAUGGUGGUCAGCCAGAACCUCUUUGAAGUCAAGAAAAUAAGCUGAUACCAGAAUACCGCAAAGAAAGCAAGAACAGGUCAGUGUUCCAGACCAGAGGUGUCAUCCUAGAGUGUGAGCCAUGUAAUAAUUUUAACUUUUCUGGUACCCACACUUAAAAAAAGAAACAGGAGUUUCCAUUGUGGCUCAGUGGGUUAAGAACCCUGAUUUAGUGCUCAGGAGGAUGAGGGUUCCAUCCCUGGGCUCACUUAGUGGGUUAGAGAUCUCACAUUGCCACUAGUUGCUGUGUAGGUUGUAGAUGAGACUCGGAUCUGGCAUUGCUGUGGCUGUGGUAUAGGCCUGCAGCCGCAGCCACAGCUCUGAUUCAACCCCUAGCCCAGAAACUUCCAAAUGCUGCAGGUUGCAGCCAUAAAAAAAGAAAACAAAUAAAUUUAAAAAGAAACAGAUAAAAUUAAUUUUAAUAAUAUCUUUUCUAGAACCCAAUUUUUCUAAAAUAUUAUUUCAUCACAUAACUAUAUUAACAAGUUACUAAUGGUCCAUUUUACAUUUUUCUUCUGUACAGUCUUCAAAAUCUUGUGCUUAUUUCACACAACACAUUUCACUUUAGAGUAACCAACAUUCAAGUUCUCAAUAGUCAUAUGGACAUUUUUGGAGAGUUGAGAAAAAUAAAUCAGACUGGAGUGGCCAGAGAAAAGGGAAGUGAGGUGGGGGUGAGUUGGGGAGAGACACAAGGGCACCCCUAUUCAUACCUUCCUUGUAGCACAUGUCAAUCAUAUUGAGUUCUUUGUGUGGAUUGGGCUCUGUCUUGUAGGUUGUAAGCUCCUCCUUGAGGACAGGGUUUCUUUUUUAUCCCCGCAGCUCAAGAUAUAAAGUAGGUGACACAUAAGUAUUUGAUGAAUGAGUAAAUUGAAGAGAUGAAUGAAUACAGGAGAAAUGGCUUGUUUAGCAAGAAAAGAAUUUUCAUUUGUGUUUACCCUCCUAAAGCCUUUGAAACUUCCACUCUGGUACAUACAUAGGCUUUCUUCCAGCCUAUUUAUUUAUGCCAGGUUUUGCAAACUCCUGAAUGUCUCAUCGUUGUUAAAGAAAUAAUUGCCAGUUUGAAGUAAACAUUUAUUGAGCAGCCUUAAAUAAUUAUCCUGUGUGGUGUGUUUUGGAAUUAUCAUCCAUGUUGUGUGCAAUGUUUUAUGAAAUAAUUGGUACAAUGCCUCAUUAAAAUAACUGCCUGUUUCGUGCAGUGUUUUCACCCAGCAAAUGUUUAUGCUUUGCAGAGUUUUCAGUUUCCUUGUGUCUUCUUUUGUCUGAUAUUUCAUUAAAGAUUUUCUGUUCUGUAUAAUGGGAAGACGAGCUGCUGGAGCUUUUAAUUACGAGGUUUAGCUGUGUAGCUUAUUGAACAGUGGAAAAAAAGUAAAAAUGAAUUGUGUUCUUAAGUCGCAUGUUGUCCUUCCUCAUGCCCCAGCUGAAGAUGAGCAAAUGCAGACUGAGGCUCUUAACACAGUUUUGUGCUGUUCAUUAAAUGUCCAUUUAGUACCAAACUAAAAAUACAGAAGCCCAGGCUCUUUUCUUUUUACUGUGCUGUAGAAAAUUCUGUGUUGUUCAAAUUCUCUGGAAGCAGAGAGUGUGGGAUGUUAAGAUGUUUAUUUGAGAUCAGUGUCUAGAGAAGAAAGGACGAGGGAACAGGACUAGGUAGAAGGAAGAGUUGAACUUUGAUGCUGAUCCGUAGUACCUUGGCCAGCCUGGCAGGGAACUCUGGGUGAGCAUUGCUUGUCAGAGCUCUCCCCAUCAAGCAGAAAGUGGGGGGCUUUACAUCCCCACCUCACACAGUUGCCAGAUGCAGGCUGCUCCAGGAAAGGUGUGACCUUGGACCAGGAGACUACAGCUGAGACAGACCUUGAAGAAGGUGACAGCUGGAGCCUGCAGUCCUCACAGCUGGGCAGUAUGUCCUUCCUUGAAGGGCAAGCUGGGUGGCUCAGCACACUGUUUGCCACAUGCUAUUAAACCCAACAGUGAUGUUCCAGUACCAGUUUUUCACUGUUAUUAGAGCAAAAUUUCAUCCUAUUUUUAGUUUUAUAUUCAGUUAAUUUAGCCGAAUGAGUUAAUGCCUAGCUUUAUUUUAUGUUUAUAUACAUUUACACAGCAUUGUAAUUGAUAUAAUAGAGGUCAAGGCUGGAGAGGGAGUCAAUGACAAUUUCUUUUCAAAGAGUUUUUUACAUUAUUUCAGUAUGAGCAAUACUGAUUAAUUUUCCACGCCAAAGUAAUACCUUUGCUUUGUUGAAAAAGUUAUAGAAAUAGAUCACUUGAAAUAUGAAAAACCCCGAGUAAGGCAAUCCCCCCCCCACAAAGUUUGCUUUGUUACCAAAGAAGGUAAAUUUAAUAGUAUGCUGGGGAACCAAGAAAUACAUAUGCUCACUGCAUUAGUCAAAGUAGUUAUGGAUCAGUUUUAGAUAUUUGGUAUAGAAAAGACACAUAGCAUGUGGGUGUGGCUUAUUUAUCUCCAGCAAAAAUUCUUUAUGUGGGAAAGCAAACAAAAAUGAUGAUAGAUUAGAUAGAGAGAUGAUACAGAUAAGACAGAUGGAUUGAUGGAUAUCACAUCUGCAGAGAAAUUCCCUCAGAUUAUGAGGUCUUUUACUUUAUGAUAAACUUCAGUGAGACAGUACCUGCAUCAAAUUAGUUGGAUGGAUGGAUGGAUGGAUGACUGAUAAAAUUAUUGGACAGCUGCCCCAUUUCAGGUAUUCAGUGCCUCCCUCACGUGUAUGAACACAUUUAACCUCCUCAACCAUCCUAUGAAAUGGUUGUCAUUAUAAUCCUCACUUUGCAGAUGAGAACUGAGGCACAUACAUUGAUGUGGAGAUAUUUGCCAAAGAAAUACGAAAAAUGAGUGUGCGGAGCUGAGUUUCAAGUCCAGGAAACUUGCUCUGGAGAACUCCACUGUAUAUAUUCUGUGUUCGAAAUGGGCAGGCAGUCUGGUUGAUGGAAAUUUAACAAGGAACAGUUUAUUUUCAUCAUUACCUGGGAUAAGUCCCUGGUGCCUUUGAGCUACCUGUAAGGGAAUUGCUAAGUGACACAUUAGCCCAUAAUUGUACUAUUUUAUUAGGCCAACCCUUCUUAGAGUCAGUGGCACUUGGCUUUUGUUAGCUGAAGUUGAGUGUUUAUUGGGUUAUGAUUGCCCAAAGCUAAAAUUUUUCUUUGGCAAUUUAAAAGAGUGUAACAUCUACUCCACAACCAACUGGUUUUUUCUAAGUACCUAAAAUUUUGUUACAAAUAAUCAGUAAAGUCUUUGUAAAAUACUCUAGUGCUAGAUUAUUUAUCAUUUACAUUUGCAAGGCUUGUAACUUCUCUGAGGAUUUGUGCCUUCUUUGUAAAAAUGGUGUUCAUAACUUAUGCUUUACUUGCUUACCUGGCUGAGUUGUUGAAUCGUGGUUUUCACAGCCAUUUUUUUUUUUUUGCCACACCUGUGGAAUAAGGAAGUUCCCAAGGCCAAGGAUUGAAUCCAAGAUGCAGCUGCAACCUACACCCCAGGUGCAGUGACACCAGAUCCUUAACCCACUGCUCCUAGGUGGGGAUCUAACCUGUGCCUCAGUGGUGACCUGAUCUGCUGCAGAAAAACAAACAAAAAACACCAAAUCCUUAAUCCACCAUGCCACAGCAGGAACUCCUAGUUGUUAGGUCUUGGUUUUAAAGAGCUUUGUAAACUGGAAAAUUUUAAUUAGACAAUCUAAAAAAUAUUUUAUUAACGAUGAAUAUGCCAUGGUCUUAUUUUUGCUUCCUUUUCUUGUUUAUUAUUAGUAAUUUCAUUUAUUAAUUCAGCCAGCCAGUCAUUUUGUUUUUACCAUCUACCUAAUGAGUCAUAGGUCUACAAGAAACAAGAAACAUGCAGUGAAAAUCAAGGCAUGCUUUUGAACUCAGGGGCAUAAACCCUGCAAAUACAAUAUGAUGUGACAGGUGCUCAAAUGGGUUAAAUUGGAGUUUCUUAGUAUGGGCCCACUGGGGACAGUCUUUUUUUUUUUGUGGAGCUUUCCUUUCCUGCACAUUAUACGAUGUUUAGCAGCAUCCCUGGCUUCCACCUACUGAAUGCUAGUAGCAACCUCCCCCCAGAUGUGACAGCCAGAAAUGCCUGAGGGCAUUGCCAGAUGUCCUCUGAGGGGAAGAGCAAAGAUGCACCCAGCUGAGAACUAUUGGGUUAAUGGAAGGUUGCCUUAACUUCCUGCAAGAAGCUUUGUCUAAGCCGAGAUCUUCAUGAUAAACAGAAGUUAGCCAGCUGAAGAGAGUAGGUAAAGGGGAGAGUAUAUACAUGAAUCCCAGAGGCAAUAUCCUAAAAGUCAAAACAUUAGGAAUUAUUUUGUUUUUUCUUUACGUCUGACAGCUAGUGAGUCUGAAUGGUCAUUAAACUGUCUUCUGGCAUUGAAAACUUUACCUAGUCUUUUUGUUGCUAAGAAGAUGUGAGCUUGAAGUAGAUUGGAAUACUAUCAAAUACGGUCUUUUCUACUUAGUGUAUUUACAAAAGAACAGUUUAAAGAAUUAAGAACAAAGUAAUUAGAGGGAAUUCCUUUGGUUUCUUAAUUAAAACAAUUGGAAUUUCUCAUAUGCUAAAAUAUGUGUGGGUUAUAUAAGCAUGAAUAAAAUGUGUACUUAUUAUGAUGACAGAAGUAUAAAAAAACUAAAGCUUAAGAAUUCUUAGGAGGGUGUUCCUGUCAUGGCUCAGUGGGAGUGAAUCUGACUAGUAUCCCUGAGGACACAGGUUCAGUCCCUGGUCUCAUUCAGUGGGUUAGGAUACGGCAUUGCCAUGGGUGAUGGUGUAGGUCACAGAUGCAGCUCGGGUCUGGUGUUGCCAGAAGCUGCAGCUCUGAUUCAACCCCUAGCCUGGAGACCUCCAUAUACUCCAGGUGUGGCCC
rnacentral:lncRNA from 1 species